rfam:Triticum aestivum genome assembly, contig: Triticum_aestivum_CS42_TGACv1_scaffold_555978_7AL
CAACUACUCCCUCCAUUAUGAAUUACUUGUCUUAGAUUUGUCUAGAUACGGAGGUAUCUAGCACUAAAAUAAGUCUAGAUACAUCUGUAUCUAGACAAAUCCAAGACAAGUAAUUCGGAACGGAGGGAGUACUUC